GGUCAACUGACACUUUCUUUCUCACUGGCUUUUUUAUCUUCUGUGUAGAACUAACUUGCUUCACUGCAGGUGUUCCACAUCCAACCAAAGUGAAACCUGGUAUCUGUCCAUACACUGAUGCCAUCUGUCAUGGAGGACCUAUUGGAAAUCAAUGCAAGCAAGAUGACCAAUGUCCGGGUGCAAGGAAAUGCUGUCCUGGCUCUUGCGGGCAAGCCUGCUUGUUACCAGAGAACGUGAAACUUGGAACCUGUCCAGUGCAAUACGUAGUUUGCCGAGCAGCCUUUGAUGUAUGUGAGAAGGAUGAUGAAUGUCCAGGAAUAAAAAGAUGCUGUGAGGGUAAUUGUGGGACAGUGUGUCGC